AUUGCCCCUAGAAGAGAUGCAGGUGCAGCUGCUGUGUCACGAGUGCAUUGGCAGGAGGCAGAGAGGAGGAGGCCAUGUCUGCGUUCAAUGUUCUGACCCGUGAGUGUUUGAAUGAUUAGUAUCCUAACACU